rnacentral:rRNA from 1 species
UACCAGACUCCUACGGGAGGCAGCAGUGGGGAAUAUUGCACAAUGGGGGGAACCCUGAUGCAGCGACGCCGCGUGGGUGAAGGAGCACCUCGGUGCGUAAAGCCCUAUCGGCAGGGAAGAAAAGCGAACAGGUUCGCCUGGACGGUACCUGACUAAGAAGCCCCGGCUAACUACGUGCCAGCAGCCGCGGUAAUACGUAGGGAGCAAGCGUUGUCCGGAAUUACUGGGCGUAAAGGGCGCGUAGGUGGGCGCUUAAGUCAGGUGUGAAAACUCCGGGCUCAACCUGGAGACUGCACUUGAAACUGGGUGUCUUGAGGGCAGGAGAGGAAAGUGGAAUUCCUAGUGUAGCGGUGAAAUGCGUAGAUAUUAGGAGGAACACCAGUGGCGAAGGCGGCUUACUGGACUGUAACUGACGUUGAGGCUCGAAAGCGUGGGGAGCAAACAGGAUUAGAUACCCUAGUA